GUCUCCUGCCGUCUGAUGUCAGAUACGUUUCAGUCAAACUUUAUAACCUGGAAACAUGUUACUGUUUGUUUUAAUUUGAGCUUUUAACCAAAAUAUAUUGCAAUAACUUACCUCUAGCUAUCAAAUGCUUGACCCUAAAAUUGCAUGUCUGAAAGCAAAGGGGAGUUAAAGGAAAAGUCUGACCAUCUCUACACUGAACACAGAAGGACAACAACGUGCAGUAUUAUAUAAAACCACAGCUGAUCCAGACAGCCCCAGAGUCUCCUGCCGUCUGAUGUCAGGUUUGAAAGCACAGGGCAGACAAAGAAAAGGCCAGCCCAUGUCUACAAUGACCACAGGACAAGAGAUUGCAGGCUGAAAAAAGCACAAGAAAGUUGGAGGAAAAGUCUGACCAUGACUACCAUGAACACUGAAGGAAAAGAACCUGCAGUCCUAUUCAACUUCCUCUCCAAAGUUGGACUGGAGAAAUAUUAUCCUAACAAACUCACUCUUCGGUCUCUCUUGGAGAUCAACAAAAACAGCAUACAUGAAGAAGCUGUCUCAUCUGUGGAGGACAUACCAUGGGGUUUUCUCAGAAAACUAUUUAAACUCAAUUCUGAAUGCAGGAGCUAUACACAGUUAUCAGACAAUGAUGAUAAUGAUGAUGAUGAUGAUGAUGAUGACGACCUUGACACUUUAGAUGACCCUGCAGAGGAUAGUAAGGUCAACCCUCUCGACCUCAUAGUAGCACUCUUCCUUUGUGCUGACAGCUUCUUGCAACAGGAACUGGCCCUCAAGAUGUCAAUGUGCCAGUUUUCUGCCCCACUGAUGUUGCCCCAUGCCAAUAACAGCCAGACUACCAUGAUGCUUUGGGCUCUGAGAGACAUCGUCAAAGAGUGGCGUCCACAUGAUUUGUCUGAAUCAAGAGGGUUUGUUGAAGACAACAUUAUCCAAGCAGAUAUUCCAUUCUACUUCUUUGUCAGGCUGAAAAACUGCAGUUUAUCCAAGUCCCAGUGUUUGAAUCAUGUUCUCAGCCUUGGUCAGUCCAACAACAAUAUGUUCAUACACAGAGAUAUGGAAGGUGGAGCACUUAAAAGAAACAUUGCAAAUGGUUUAGUAGAGGUUUGCUGGUACCUUCCCAGUGGUACUGAAAAUCUUGACAAAUUCCCAAAACCAGUUGCGUUUGCUAAUUUGCGAGGAGACAUUUGUGAGUCACGCACACAGUUCAUUUUUCUUUAUCAAGUGUCAACUGCUACCUUUGUAUUCCUGGACAAAGUUGAAGAAGAAGAGCACAAGAGUCUGACUUCUCUUCAAGAUGUGAAAUCCAAACUGUUCUUCGUUGUUAACCGCAAGGAGGGGAAUGCUACAGAGGAUAUGAUGUCUGUCAAGAAAAUACAGAAAGAAUUAGACCUACCAAAGACCAGUAUAAAAAUCAAAGAUCCAAAGAUAAAUGUAGCAGAGUUUUCAAAGAAACUUUGUUCAGCCAUCAAGAAAUCUGUCAAAGAUGUAAAAACAACAAGAAGCAUUGCAAAUAUGCUUGACAAAGCUGUUGAACUUGGUCUGUCUGUGGAUGAACGCACAAGUGACGACCAAAGGAAGGCAGCUGAGGAGAUUGUGGAAGGAAUCGGAGUGCGACGAAUACCAGACUACAAGAAAAUACAACUUCCUUUGCAAGGAGAUAAAUGGAAAAGUUUAUCGAAGUUAGAGAAGGAGGAAUGUAGGAUGAAAGACACUGGUGCCUCAGGCCUCGAAGACUAUAAAUCUAAUCUACAGGCAGAAAAACUAAAUAUCAGAGAGUGGCAAAGCAAACAAAAAUUGUCAAAAGGAAUUAAGAGUUUUAUUGAAAACUUAUCCACAAGAGACAAAGAAAAAAGAGAUUAUUUCCUUAAGUGGAUGAAGUUGAAGUUGAAUUCACAUUCUCGGGACAAACUGACUGAUCUGCGUAACAAAUUUAAAGAGCAAUGCAAGAAAACGGAUGCUAAACUCAUUGCAGAGCUGGAUCAAGCUUUGCUAGAUAGCUCUUUAGGACUAGAGCAUUACAUGAGAGAGAUGGGGCUGAUCUAUGAGAUUUCAUUGCAGUCACAAAACACUGCUGAUAAAAUGUCUUGUCUCCCUGGUUUGGCUGCUGAAAUGCUGUUGGAUGGAUAUCCUUUAGAGCUCUUAGAUGGAGAUGCUUCUAACAUCCCAGAGAGAUGGGUGACAGAUGUGCUAAUGGAGCUUCACAGGAAGGUCGGAGAGAAGAGCAGACUGUUGGUACUGACGGUGUUGGGUGUUCAAAGUAGUGGGAAGUCAACACUCCUCAACACCAUGUUUGGUGUGCAGUUUCCUGUCAGCAGUGGCAGAUGCACAAGAGGAGCUUAUAUGCUCUUCCUCAGAGUAAGUGAGGAUAUGCAAUGCCAUCUGAACUGUGACUUUAUACUUCUCAUUGACACAGAAGGUCUUAAGUCUUCUGAUUUGGCACAACUAGAGGACAGUUAUGAGCAUGACAACCAGCUGGCAACCUUUGUGAUUGGCUUAAGUGAUGUCACCAUUAUCAACAUCGCAAUGGAGAACUCAACAGAAAUGAAAGAUAUCCUGCAAAUUGCAACUCAUGCAUUCUUGAGAAUGAAGGAAAUUGGUAAAAAGCCAGUUUGUCAUUUUGUGCACCAGAAUGUUGGUGGAGUCUCAGCUCAUACCAAGAAUCUGACAGAAAGAAAACAUUUUUUGGACCAGCUCAACGAAAUGACUCUAAUUGCAGCCGAAAUGGAGAAGAAGCCUGAUAUAAAAGCUUUCACAGAUGUGCUGAACUAUGACAUGGAAAAAAACAACUGGAACAUCCCAGGACUCUGGCAUGGGACCCCACCGAUGGCACCAGUAAACACAGGUUACAGUGAAGCUGUAGCAGGUUUAAAGAAAAAUCUCUUGGAGACAGGGAAAGGAGACAAAAGCGAUGAAGUCUCACAGAUUCCAGAGUUUCUAGAAUGGAUGAGAAGUCUCUGGAAAGCAGUCAAAUAUGAGAACUUCAUCUUCAGUUUCAGAAACACUCUUGUGGCUCAUGUGUACGACAACCUUGACAAAGAGUUCAGUGAAUGGGAAUGGGAGUUCAGGAAAGAGAUUCUCUCCUGGCAGACAGCAGCAGAGUUGGAAAUCAAAAAUGCUGACAAUGAAUCUCAGGUGGAAAUUUGGAACAGAUUGGUUGAGUCAAAAAAAUUUGAGGUGUUGGACAAAAUAGCAGCCCAGCAAAAAAUAACGAACGAGAAACUCAGUGACUACUACAAAAGAAAAGACAGUAAUGUACAUUUGAUAGAGAAAUACAAAAUAGACUUUCUCCACAGAAUCAAGAGUCUUGUAAAUGAGGUCAAAAAAUCUGUGGGUAAUUACUUGGAUGAGGCCCUUAAACUGAAAAUCGGUUUAAAAGAGGCUCAGGACAUACGGAGGAAAUCCAGAGGCGUGAUUGAAGAGCGGGUCAUGGAACUACUGAAUCGCUGCAAAACCACCACACCGUCCGAUGAACAGCUGGGAGAUGAGUUUGAAAAGAUGUGGGCUAAAGCUACUGAAAAUAUACCUGGCCUGAAAGAACGAGAAAUCUCUGCAUGUAUUCUCACACAACUGAGAAAACAUUUCUCAAAUCAGAAUGUAAAUGAAAAAUUGCAAAAGAUUGUUGAGCUAAAGAACUUAGGGAUGGGUAAAUUUAAGACCACAAAAGACCAUCUUGGCAGCAUUUGGGAUAAGGUUAAAUCUCUGUGGGAUACAGAUUUACAGAGUUUUGCAGACAGUGUGAUUAAGAUUUCCACACAGUUUAUUCUUGAUAAAACAAAGACAAAUGGAGAUUACCAUGACUCUUUCACAAAAGAACUUUUGGAGAAAAUAGAUGAAAACCUUAAACAGAACUACAAACACUACAACACAAAUACACAGUUUGAGAUUGACCUGAAACUUCAUAUUUGUGGCAUUGCCUCGAGGGAAUUCUUAAAAAUGCACCAAAAAUUCAUGUCUGACAAUAAUCCAAGAAGUCAGCUGGAGAAGUACAAGAAUCAGUACUUGUUGGAUUUUAUUGAUUUAUACAAAAAGAGAGAUGAUUGCCAACGCAAAGCAGAUGAUUUUGUCAGAUGUUGUAUCAAACCUGCUGUAGAUGAGUAUAUCAAUACAUAUCUGGGAAUAAACAUUGUAGAUGAGAUUUCGACAAGUUACAGUACACGCUCCUUAUUCCAGUACAACAUUCAGGAAGAGUUGCUGCAAAAGGGAGAGUUUGAGAGUUUUGUCAAGUACAUUUGUACGUAUGAAAUUUAUGUUAAAGAUUGGAUAUUUCAACACAUUCUGCAAAACAUGUCAAAAGACAAAACUUUGUGCAAACUGAAGAGUAAGAAUCUGCAGGUCAUAGUUAAAAAAAUAACAGAAGCAACAGAACGAGCCUCAAAAGGAGAGGAUGGUGUUCUGCUUCCAGAUAACCAGGAAAGCAUCACACAGCUCAUCGACAACAUGCGCACAUAUUUGAUCAAAGACAUCUCAAUUUCAGUGGAGGCUGAAAAAACCUCCUUGUUUCAAAUCCAAAGCACAUGUCAUCCAUUUACAAAGAGCCUCAGUAAAUCAUUGGGUGAAUUAAAGGAACAGCUGCAGGAGGAAUUCUCAAACUCUGAAGACAUCACUGAGACUCUGAACAAACUUCCAAUCAAACCCCAAGAUGAGCUUUUCAAGCGGAUGUUUGGCUGUGGACAACAAUGUCCAUUUUGUAAAGUUCCUUGUGAGGCUGGAGGCAAAGAACACGAGAAACAUCAUGCAGCUGUUCAUCGGCCACAAGGUCUUGGUAGAUACAGGCAUGUGGACACUGAGAAGCUGGUUCCAACACUGUGUACAACAAGUGUGCACAGUGACCGUAAAUUCAGAAACACAGAAACUAAAGGGGAGUGGCAUCCUUAUAAGAACUACACCACAUACUAUCCAGACUGGCACAUUCCUCCUGACUCCACCUUCGAGGCAUCAGACUACUGGAAGUAUGUCCUGGUUCAAUACAAUGAAAGAUUUGCUCAAGAAUACAAAGCCAAACCAGCUGAUGUUCCAGAGGCCUGGAGGAGAAUCACAAAGGAACAAGCUCUGAAGGGAUUAAAAGAUGCCUUCAAUAUAAAGUGAACAACAUACCAUCCUGAAUAUCUUUAAAACUAAACAACAUUGAAACAUGGAAGACUUUUUCAUAUACAAAUGUACAGAGAAGACCAAAAGGAAAAAGGAACUGAAGACGUUCUCAUUACGUAUUCAGUAGAACAAUCAGUCAAGACAGAUUAAUACUGUUUGAAAAUUAUCAACUUGUCUGCAAAAUAAUCUUUAUGUAGAAAAGUAAUCAGCAUAAUGUAGUGUAAUGAAAACAUCUCAAAUAUUUUAGAAGCUGUGCAGGAAAUAAUUUAACUAUGACGGAUUGUAAGAUUUUAUGUUUUAUUUUUUAGUUUAGAAUUGCAAUAGAUGAUUUAAACAAGUUGGAGAAAAUGAAAUGCUGUAAAUAGUUAUGUUAGACUUUAUUCUAUACUUUAUAUUUAUUACUUUGUUUUUAUUUUUUGAAGAUUACAAAUGUUCUUUUAUCAAUCUUCUGCAGGCCCUCAAGCCCAUAAAUGGUGUACACAAUAAUGAUGUUGACAAAGAUCAUUUAAAAAAAAGGGAUUAUGUUUUGUUUUUAUUUUUUUGGGUUGUGAUCAUUAGGUAUUUUUUUUUUAAUCUAUUUUCAAGAUGCUGUAUGUCUAUGUUUAUAAUGACUGGUGUUCACAAUUAUGAUGUUGAAAAUGUACUUCAGAGAUCACCUGGAGAAGGACAUCAUGACAAUGAUUUUUUUCAGUUUUUUGGCUACUUCUGUUUUUUUAUUUUUCUUCAUAUUUUUAAAUGCACAGUAUAACUGGUGUGCACAAUAAUGAUGAUGUCAGUGAUAAUGAGGAUUUAUAGAAGUUUUGUUAUAGAUAUGUCAGCAUGGUUCAUUCAUUGUGACUUUGAGUUGACUUCCUUUUAUUAGUACUACCUAUUAUUACUUACUCCACUAUUUACAUUUGUAUAGUUUUAUUUCUCAUCAUUAAUUUCUAAUCUUAAUUUAAUCUGAAAAGUAACUGAUAUGUGCUUGGAGGUAACAAAAAUCAACAUUAGUUGAAAUAUAUGUUGAUGCCAGAUAAUGAUGAUGAUGAUGAUGUGGUUACCAAGUAACAAAAUGCUGGAAAUAGUUUUAUUUUUUUUACAUGUUUUGAUGAUUACAGCUCCGUCUGUAAUGACUAGUGCUAAAGAUGCUGAUGUUGAUGAUGAUGAUGAUGUUAAACUACAAAGGCCGUGUAACAGAUGUUUUCUAACAUGUCAUCACUAUGCUUAAAUAUUUCUCAUUUCUUUACUUCUAGCAAUAGGUAUAACAUUUUUAUGUUUUGAUGUGUAUUUGAUGAAAUUGGAAUCAGUGAAUAAGAAAUAUUGACACAUUUGACUUUUGAUGCUGACUUCCUUUGUUUUGUUUUUUUACUUUCAAAUAGUGACAAUUAUUUCUUGUUUUAUUCCUUUAAAAUAUGUUUCAUAAACUAAAGAGGUGCACGAAAAUAAUUUUAUAAGUCUGUUGUACAAAUAGCAUGUGAUGAGAUUAUGUUUUACUUACUAUUAUUAGUAUUACUACUUACUUUUGUUAUUACUACUUAUUACUCCACUAUUUACAAUAUUUUAUUUCUCAAAAGUCUUGCUAGAUGAAAUCUUUAAAAAAGUAAUGAAUGUGUUCUUUGAGAGUACAGAAAUCUGCAUUAGUUUAAAUGUAUGCAUGUUGUUGUCAAUGAUUAAUGCUAUUAUUAUAUUAUAUGAGUUAUUCAAUCUACAAGAAAGUUUAAAAGCUGGAAUAUUUCAUAUGUCGACGAUUUCUUUACUGUUUUUGUUUGAGUUUUGUUGAUUGCACGUUUGUUUUUUAUUUUUUCCUAGUUUAUAUAAAGUAAUGAUGAUGAUGAGGAUGAUUCAUGUAGAAAGAUCA